AUGGAGAGGUAUAACAUUAUUACGGAAGUGGGUGACGGUACGUUUGGUAGUGUUUGGCGUGCAAUCAAUAAAGAAAGUGGCGAAGUGGUCGCAAUCAAGAAAAUGAAGAAAAAAUAUUUUUCUUGGGAGGAGUGCAUCAAUCUCCGUGAAGUUAAGUCCCUCCGAAGGAUGAACCAUCCAAACAUUGUGAAGCUCAAGGAGGUCAUAAGAGAGAAUGAUAUGCUGUUCUUUGUUUUUGAAUACAUGGAAUGCAAUCUCUAUCAGCUGAUGAAGAGCAAGGGCAAGCCUUUUUCGGAGACUGAAAUCCGGAACUGGUGCUUUCAAAUAUUUCAAGCUCUUAGUCACAUGCAUCAACGUGGAUACUUUCAUCGUGACCUUAAGCCUGAAAAUCUGCUAGUUACAAAGGAGCUCAUCAAGGUAGCUGAUUUUGGGCUUGCUCGUGAGAUUAUUUCUGAACCACCAUACACAGAAUAUGUGUCAACUCGCUGGUAUCGUGCCCCAGAGGUUCUACUUCAAGCUUCUGUUUACAGCUCAGCAGUUGACAUGUGGGCUAUGGGCGCCAUUAUUGCAGAGCUUUUUUCACACCGACCUCUUUUCCCUGGCUCAAGUGAAGCAGACGAGAUAUACAAAAUCUGUAGCAUUCUUGGCACACCAAAUCAGCAUACUUGGGCUGGAGGACUGCAGCUGGCAGCAUCUAUCAAUUUUCAGUUUCCUCAGUCUGGAAGCAUAAAUCUUUCAGAAGUGGUUCCCACAGCAAGUGAAGAUGCGCUGAACCUUAUUUCGUGGCUUUGCUCAUGGGACCCACGUAAACGGCCAACCGCAGUGGAGGUUUUGCAGCAUCCCUUCUUUCAGCCAUGCUUCUAUGUCCCCCCUUCACUUCGUUUCAGAUCGACCGGAUAUGCAACAACACCACCAUCAGUUGGGGCUAAAGGAGCUAUGGACCAGAAGAAUGCUAGGCGAUACCCUGUGGGGACUUUAUCCAAUGGGAGACCGGCAGUCAAUAACUCGUACUUGAGCACUAAUAACGUCCCAGCAAGAGCAGCUGGCGUGCAAAGGAAGCUAGAGUUGGAUCAUCAGGUGAAACCAGAGAGCAACCAUAAGCUGACGAAGGAGAACGCUAUGAACCAGCCCUGGUCCAGACUACCACCAGCACCAGUGAGGAGCAAAGGGAACAACUACCUUGCUGCCAAGGAGCAGAUCCCUCGGGGCGGCGCGCCUGACAUAGCCGAGAAGCUGUCCCAGCUGUCGAUGGCCUCCACCACCAACCGGGCGCCGAUCGUGCCUUCGGACAGGUUUGCUGACCUGAAGGGCACUACUAGAGCCCAGCAACCGGAGCCCGUGAGGCGGCCCGUGCCUCUGGGACCCAGGGACACGUGGCACGCCCGGAACGACCCCUUCCGGCGCACCUAUGAGAUGCCGGGCGAGAGGGCUCUCCUCCAAAGGAAGCUCGUCAGCUGA
rnacentral:rRNA from 1 species